rnacentral:rRNA from 1 species
UACAGAGGGUGCAAGCGUUGUCCGGAUUUAUUGGGUGUAAAGGGUGCGUAGGCGGGACGGUAAGUCCGAGGUGAAAGCCCGCAGCUCAACUGCGGAACUGCCUUGGAUACUGCCGACCUUGAGUCCCGGAGGGGUGGCUGGAAUUCCUGGUGUAGCGGUGAAAUGCGUAGAUAUCAGGAGGAACACCGGAGGUGUAGACGGGUCACUGGACGGGUACUGACGCUGAGGCACGAAAGCCAGGGGAGCAAACGGG